UUCAUAGUUUAGCGGGCAAGUAGGAGUUCGCAUACCUGUCAGAAGAGCCAAAUAAAGGACAAAAUAAAUAAGAAUAGCUUUCAACAGUAGCAGCAACGAGAUCUCAGAAAUAAUACAGGAACGAGGAACGCUGUCGUCCUCGGUGACCCUAAAUAGACAAAAAAUAAAUGAAAUAAUAAGAUUAAAUCACAGUCCACGAGAUUGCGUGAAUUGCCAGAAAAUUUUCAUCGACAGAACUACUAGUGCUAUUAUUAUUGUCCUUGUUAUUACGAAAUUGCAAAAAUAUCUAUGAAGGACUGUCGAAUCAUACAGAUGAG
rnacentral:misc_RNA from 1 species